AAAUGAUUAUCCACUUGCACCCGAACAUCUGCUUGUUGAAGACAAAGAUCUGUCAUAAUAUACAGUACUGGAUUGUGGGAAAAGCUCAAUACCGUAAAAAAUAAAGACAGUGUGGAACAGGUCAAACCUAGGAUAAAACACGGAAUUUAAUUCCAACUUUAAAGAAGAAGACGACUAUAUAGUACAUUAUCGAAAAUUACAGUUGUACACAGAACUAGGAAUGAAAAUUACCAAAACUACACAGGAUUUUAGGAUUUUACCUGAAAGGUUGGUUGAAAACCUACAUACAUUUCAAUAGCAAUAUGCAGAAAGUAGCAAAACAAACGACUUUGAAUAGAUUUCUUUUAGGCUGGUGUGUAACAGUGUCUGGCAAAUGCAUGGAAAAUUUACAGGCAAAAAUGAACUUAAAGCUGAUUAAUUCAGGGGACAAACUAAAACAAGUUGGUCGCUAAACCGUCCUUUAUUGGCUGCC
rnacentral:lncRNA from 1 species